rnacentral:pre_miRNA from 1 species
UUUCUACUCCCUCCGUCCGAAAUACUUGUCAUCAAAAUGGAUAAAAAGAGAUGUAUCUAAAACUAAAAUAUGUCUAGAUACAUUUCCUUUUAUCCAUUUUGAUGACAAGUAUUUCCAGACGGAGGGAGUAUCUG